GAUGAACGCUGGCGGCGUGCCUAAUACAUGCAAGUCGAGCGAACCACUUCGGUGGUGAGCGGCGAACGGGUGAGUAACACGUAGGUGAUCUGCCCAUCAGACGGGGACAACGAUUGGAACGAGCGCUAAUACCGGCUAGGACGAAAGUUUAAAGGUGCUUCUGGCACCGCUGAUGGAUGAGCCUGCGGCGCAUUAGCUAGCUGGUAGGGUAAAGGCCUACCAAGGCGACGAUGCGUAGCCGACCGGAGAGGGUGAACGGCCACACUGGGACUGAGACACGGCCCAGACUCCUACGGGAGGCAGCAGUAGGGAAUCUUCGGCAAUGGGCGAAAGCCUGACCGAGCAACGCCGCGUGAAUGAUGAAGGCCUUCGGGUUGUAAAAUUCUGUUAUAAGGGAAGAACGACUUUAGUAGGAAAUGGCUAGAGUGUGACGGUACCUUAUGAGAAAGCCACGGCUAACUACGUGCCAGCCGCCGCGGUAA
rnacentral:rRNA from 1 species